AGUUUUAGAAAGAUUUAAUUUUAUUUUGUCCCUCAAAUCUGGAACAAUCAUGUCAUAACGAAGGAGUAAGUUUACAAGUUAAAUAAAAUCUUCAAGGUUAAACAAAAUUGGAAAGAACUAAUGUUAACCUCUCUAAAAAUAGGUCAUCAAGCUUUUAUUUUUAUAUAAAACAUGAAAAUCCAAUGAGAUAUUAUCUGAGACAUAUUCCAUUCUAUUUGUUUUAUCAGACAAAACCUCCAGUUAUUUUUAAGAAUCACUUUCUGAAAGUCUCCUUAAAUCCGUUAGUUGUGUUAAUGUUCCAAACACUGCCCACAUUCACAGCUGGAACUGAGGACAGCUGUUCUGAGAACACUAAGGAAAGAUCAAGUAGGUGUUAUGAAGUAGGGACCUUCAGUCCACAUAUAGCUGCAGGAGAAGGACACAGGAGGAGUAUUCAGACUCAUGCCACUCAGGCCCUGUCACAGUCUUUGGAGUAAAAAGUGGACUAAUGGUAGGCUGUGUGCCAGCCCAGUUGGGCAAAGGUUGGUAAAAGAUGUCAUUAGCUACAGUACCGUUUUCUUAUAAUACUCUUACCAUAAUAAAAUACAGAAUAUUAAUGACCAGGAGAUGCUGCUACUGAACUGAAGAUGACUGUACACAUCAUAUUAUUGGGUGGUUUUAAUUUCUAGUGUGCACUGAAGAAAUGGAAAUGGAGAUUGUUGGCAAAGGAGACUUCCCGGGAAGCAGAAUUCUCUUUUGUCUACCUGCAGAGGCCAUCAUAUACAGAUCAUUCUCCCGCCAGCGCAGAGGUGGGAGGGGACAGCUUGAGGACAGAAUCGUAAGGGCUGGAGGAUAUUUAUACUGCCCUUACAGUCAGCUCACUGGACUAGUGAAUGCCACGGUGACACUUGCUUACUCUGUUCAUUCAUUCAUUUUUAAAAAAAGUAUUGGCUAUCUAUUAUGUUGCAGGCAUAGUUGCUGCUGUUGGUGAUAAACUGUGAAUGAGACAGAGGUGCUAAUAAGAAGUACCACUGGGUUUGACACUCCCUGCUGAGAAUCUGGCGGACUCACGUAGGUAGGAUGUAAGAGGGUCUGUCUGAGAAAGAGCUGAAGGUCAAAUAGUGUGUCCUCAUUCUCCAGGCCCAGAAUCCAGAGCCCUAGAACAGGGCAGUGAAACAGAGAAUGAAAGGGACGUGGACGGUGUCUCCUCUGCCUUACUGAGGCCAACAUUCCAGACAUUGGCCACUUCCUGUCUGAGACUGCUCCAUCCGUCAUCUCAGGGAGAAGAGGGGGUAGCCUGGCCUUUCUUGCCACUGCUUGAGAAAACAGCAUAGACCAUGGCAUAGUGGGAGAUCUAGCCACAGUCUUGACGGAUCCCAUGCAACUGUGAAUAAACCUCCUUAGCAGAUGCCACAGACCCACAACUCCCAUUAGCAUGGACACAGAAUGACCAGUCCACCUCCGCUGGGCAGGGCUUAGGGCUAUCCCAAAGCUCAGAAUGGGUGGAGCAGAGGGGAAAGAGACCUCAGGCACAGGACAGUGAAGUCCAAAGGUAUGACAGGAACAGAACCACGCAAGCUGGUUAGCAGAAGUCUGGACAGAAUGAGCAAUAGUGGGUGGGGGGAUAAAAACACAUUUAGUUACCGUGGAAACCAAAACCAAGGCACAGACAUGCCUCCAUGCUGGCUUACUGCAAUGGGCUGGAUGCUCCACAGGAAGAUGAGUGAGUAGACUGGUCAGGGUCAGGGUCAGGGUCAGGGUCAUGGAUGUGGAAGAGCUCACAGACAGGGAGCCCUCACAGCCAACAGAACCACUAGCAAUCAUUUGCUCCCUGCCUUUGUUAUAAGAAAUGUGUCCUGCCAAUAAAGCUGGUUAUUAGAAGAGGGAGUUCUAAUAGCUGACUUGUGAAGCAAAACGAGCCAGCUGUCCAGGGCUCCGGGACACAAGGAUAACUUCCUAUGUCAAGUUCCCA
rnacentral:lncRNA from 1 species